UACGGGGGGGGCAAGCGUUGUUCGGAAUUACUGGGCGUAAAGGGCUCGUAGGCGGCCAACUAAGUCAGACGUGAAAUCCCUCGGCUUAACCGGGGAACUGCGUCUGAUACUGGAUGGCUAGAGUUUGGGAGAGGGAUGCGGAAUUCCAGGUGUAGCGGUGAAAUGCGUAGAUAUCCGGAAGAACACCGGUGGCGAAGGCGGCCUGCUGGGCAGUGGCUGACACUGAGGCGCGACAGCGUGGGGAGCAAACAGG
rnacentral:rRNA from 1 species